rnacentral:rRNA from 1 species
GUCGAUCGCUGGAAACCUAGCUUGCUAGGUGGAAGGAGAGGCGAACGGGUGAGUAAUACAUAAGCAACCUGCCCACGAAGACCGGGAUAAUCCUGGGAAAUGAGGACUAAUACCGGGAUAGGUUACGAAUUCGCAUGAAUUUGUAAUUAAAGGUUAGAAACACUGGUGGAUGGGCUUAUGGUGCAUUAGCUAGUUGGUGAGGUAACGGCCCACCAAGGCGAUGAUGCAUAGCCGGGCUGAGAGGCUGAACGGCCACAUUGGGACUGAGACACGGCCCAGACUCCUACGGGAGGCAGCAGUAGGGAAUUUUCGGCAAUGGGGGAAACCCUGACCGAGCAACGCCGCGUGAGUGAUGAAGGUCUUCGGAUUGUAAAGCUCUGUUGUAAGGGAAGGAUGAAUUGGAUAGAAUCCGAUUGUGACGGUACCUUACCAGAAAGCUACGGCUAACUACGUGCCAGCAGCCGCGGUAAUACGUAGGUAGCGAGCGUUAUCCGGAAUUAUUGGGCGUAAAGGGUGCGUAGGCGGCUUGUUAAGUUUAAGGUGAAAGAAUGGGGCUCAACCCCAUAAAGCCUUAGAUACUGGCAAGCUAGAGUACUGGAGAGGGUAGUGGAAUUCCAUGUGUAGCGGUAAAAUGCGUAGAUAUAUGGAGGAACACCGGUGGCGAAGGCGGCUACCUAGACAGAGACUGACGCUGAGGCACGAAAGCGUGGGGAGCAAAUAGGAUUAGAUACCCUAGUAGUCCACGCCGUAAACGAUGAAUGCUAGAUAUCGGGGUAACUCGGUGUCGAAACUAACGCGAUAAGCAUUCCGCCUGUGGAGUAUGCACGCAAGUGUGAAACAUAAAGGAAUUGACGGGGGCCCGCACAAGCGGUGGAGUAUGUGGUUUAAUUCGACGCAACGCGAAGAACCUUACCAGGCCUUGACAUCCCUUGCAAAACUCUAGAGAUAGAGCAGAG